GACGAACGCUGGCGGCGUGCCUAAUACAUGCAAGUCGAACGAACUCUGGUAUUGAUUGGUGCUUGCAUCAUGAUUUACAUUUGAGUGAGUGGCGAACUGGUGAGUAACACGUGGGAAACCUGCCCAGAAGCGGGGGAUAACACCUGGAAACAGAUGCUAAUACCGCAUAACAACUUGGACCGCAUGGUCCGAGUUUGAAAGAUGGCUUCGGCUAUCACUUUUGGAUGGUCCCGCGGCGUAUUAGCUAGAUGGUGGGGUAACGGCUCACCAUGGCAAUGAUACGUAGCCGACCUGAGAGGGUAAUCGGCCACAUUGGGACUGAGACACGGCCCAAACUCCUACGGGAGGCAGCAGUAGGGAAUCUUCCACAAUGGACGAAAGUCUGAUGGAGCAACGCCGCGUGAGUGAAGAAGGGUUUCGGCUCGUAAAACUCUGUUGUUAAAGAAGAACAUAUCUGAGAGUAACUGUUCAGGUAUUGACGGUAUUUAACCAGAAAGCCACGGCUAACUACGUGCCAGCAGCCGCGGUAAUACGUAGGUGGCAAGCGUUGUCCGGAUUUAUUGGGCGUAAAGCGAGCGCAGGCGGUUUUUUAAGUCUGAUGUGAAAGCCUUCGGCUCAACCGAAGAAGUGCAUCGGAAACUGGGAAACUUGAGUGCAGAAGAGGACAGUGGAACUCCAUGUGUAGCGGUGAAAUGCGUAGAUAUAUGGAAGAACACCAGUGGCGAAGGCGGCUGUCUGGUCUGUAACUGACGCUGAGGCUCGAAAGGUAUGGUAGCAAACAGGAUUAGAUACCCUGGUAGUCCAUACCGUAAACGAUGAAUGCUAAGUGUUGGAGGGUUUCCGCCCUUCAGUGCUGCAGCUAACGCAUUAAGCAUUCCGCCUGGGGAGUACGGCCGCAAGGCUGAAACUCAAAGGAAUUGACGGGGGCCCGCACAAGCGGUGGAGCAUGUGGUUUAAUUCGAAGCUACGCGAAGAACCUUACCAGGUCUUGACAUACUAUGCAAAUCUAAGAGAUUAGACGUUCCCUUCGGGGACAUGGAUACAGGUGGUGCAUGGUUGUCGUCAGCUCGUGUCGUGAGAUGUUGGGUUAAGUCCCGCAACGAGCGCAACCCUUAUUAUCAGUUGCCAGCAUUAAGUUGGGCACUCUGGUGAGACUGCCGGUGACAAACCGGAGGAAGGUGGGGAUGACGUCAAAUCAUCAUGCCCCUUAUGACCUGGGCUACACACGUGCUACAAUGGAUGGUACAACGAGUUGCGAACUCGCGAGAGUAAGCUAAUCUCUUAAAGCCAUUCUCAGUUCGGAUUGUAGGCUGCAACUCGCCUACAUGAAGUCGGAAUCGCUAGUAAUCGCGGAUCAGCAUGCCGCGGUGAAUACGUUCCCGGGCCUUGUACACACCGCCCGUCACACCAUGAGAGUUUGUAACACCCAAAGUCGGUGGGGUAACCUUUUAGGAACCAGCCGCCUAAGGUGGGACAGAUGAUUAGGGUG
rnacentral:rRNA from 1 species